UUAGCUCAUUGGUAGAGCGCACCACUUGUAAUGGAGAGGUCCCGGGUUCGAUACCCGGACCAGGCG
rnacentral:tRNA from 1 species